GUGGUUAUAGUUCAGUGGUAGAAUACUUGCCUAGCAUGUGUGAGACACUGGGUUUGAUCCUCAGCACCACA
rnacentral:tRNA from 1 species